rnacentral:tRNA from 1 species
GACUCUGUAGCUUCGUUGGUUAGAUGGCUGCACCUGGAUCCGGUUAGUUAGAACGCAGGCCCGCAGGUUCAAUUCCUGCCAGAGGCC